rnacentral:lncRNA from 1 species
AAACCCAGAACGAGCAGCAGCACGCUUCAGCAACCAGGCACACAAAAAUUGUCCUAGCAUCGUGAGAUGAUGCCACGUUGCGCCCCAAGGACGGGAGAUCGAUCACUAGCGUUGAUUCGCCCUUUCCUCUUCCGGAAUGGGUGAAAUUGCAGAGAAAAGGUUGCCUCCCCUUAUUUGUGAAAGAUUUUCGAAUUUCGAAUUGGUCCCUUGUCUAUCCAUCUUUCCAAUCCGUUUCCCUCCGACUUGGAACCCUAAUACCCUUCUAUAAAUAUUCUUGUUCUUUCCAAUAUUAA